UAGAGGAAGUAAAAGUCGUAACAAGGUUUCCGUAGGUGAACCUGCGGAAGGAUCAUUAACGAGUAAACAAGGGAGUUGUAGCUGGCCGCAAGGCAUGUGCACGCUCUCUACUCAAUCCAACCUUACACCUGUGCACCUAUUGUAGGUCGAGUGGCUGGACUUGUUCUGGUCGCUCUUCCUAUGUUUUACACAUACACUUGUAGUCUCAGAAUGUAAUCCGCGUAUAACGCAUUAUAAAACAACUUUCAACAACGGAUCUCUUGGCUCUCGCAUCGAUGAAGAACGCAGCGAAAUGCGAUAAGUAAUGUGAAUUGCAGAAUUCAGUGAAUCAUCGAAUCUUUGAACGCACCUUGCGCUCCUUGGUAUUCCGAGGAGCAUGCCUGUUUGAGUGUCAUGAAUAUCUCAACUCAUCCGGUUUUUAUUAACUGUGGUGGGCUUGGACUUGGAGGUAUGCUGGCUGACUAGUCGGCUCCUCUCUAAAUGUAUUAGCUGGACCUGUUACGGAUCAGUACUCGGUGUGAUAAUUGUCUACGCCGUGUCUGUGAAGUGCUUGAAUGGACUAGCUUCUAACCGUCUUCGGACAACUAUUGACAUUUUGACCUCAAAUCAGGUAGGAUUACCCGCUGAACUUAAGCAUAUCA
rnacentral:rRNA from 1 species